CCCGAUAGAGCUAUCCUGUCCACGCACAGGGAAUAUAAGGCUAAAUAGGACACAGUUCCUGCCCCAUGGCAGGGGGUUCAGAGCUUCCUAGCAGGCUUUACUUAAUGAACCCUGGAAUGGGGCCAGGGCAGAGAGAUGUUGAUGCUGGUACGGAGAGUUGGCCCUGGCCUAGACAGAGUCUACAGUUGAAGCUGUUGUUGAUCACCGGCAGCAUUCCAUGCCUCAGGGCACGCUUCCCCAUUACUGACACUCCUGGGCUUCCUUCCAGCGUAACGCCUGCUCUCCAUGCAAGCUCUGCAGAACUCAGGGCCCUGCACACUGCUACCUAGCCUGUGGCCACUGGGACUAAGUCCAGGACCUUGAAGAAGGCCCUGAGGAGGACCAUUUGUCUCCGCUUCUCUCAGGGGUCCCAGAGAGGAAGCUGCCAGUCUUAGGACAUCUAGUCUGUCCCCUGUCCCAAGGAAGGACGCGUGAACAUAGCAGCUGCUGUCCCAAGGGUCCCUUGGAGGGAAAAGCCCUCCUGGUCUUGGUAAACAUGUAGGAUGUUUGAUCCCAACUGCCACCUCCACGUUUCCCAGCCUCGGGUCCUCUUCUUCCUCCUUGCUUAUAAUGUGGGGUAAGGGAGGGGUCCAGAUGUCUGUAAGGGAAAGUGUGAGCAGGCAGCCAGUACCCAGAGACCCAGAGCCUUAUUUAAUAAAGGCUGGUGGAGUUGCCUUGAAACCAAGUUAGACCGAGUGACUCUCAGGCUGCCAGCAAGGAUCUGUGCUUGGGGGCCAGUCCCUGUGUGGAUCCUACGUGGGAUAGGAAAAUCUUCAUAAUGCUGUUCUAUGGUAUUGUUUUCUUGCCGAUUCUUUUGCCCUCCAACCAGGAUCGCUCAUCACACUAUAAUUGUUACUG
rnacentral:lncRNA from 1 species